rnacentral:rRNA from 1 species
UGUAUGAAGAAGGCCUUCGGGUUGUAAAGUACUUUCAGUUGUGAGGAAGGCUGUGUAGUUAAUAGCUGCAUAAUUUGACGUUAGCAACAGAAGAAGCACCGGCUAACUCCGUGCCAGCAGC